GCGGCGGGUGCUUAACAUGCAGUCGAACGGAAAGGCCCGCUUGCGGGUACUCGAGUGGCGAACGGGUGAGUAACACGUGGGUAACCUGCCCCCAUCUCUGGGAUAACCGUUGGAAACGGCGGCUAAUACCGGAUACGACCACUAGGUGCAUGCUUGGUGGUGGAAAGUUUUUGCGGUUGGGGAGGGGCCCGCGGCCUAUCAGCUUGUUGGUGCGGUAGUGGCGCACCAAGGCGAUGACGGGUAGCCGGCCUGAGAGGGCGGUCGGUCACAUUGGGACUGAGAUACGGCCCAGACUCCUACGGGAGGCAGCAGUGGGGAAUUUUGCACAAUGGGCGAAAGCCUGAUGAAGCGACGCCGCGUGAGGGAUGACGGCUUUCGGGUUGCAACUCCUUUUUCCCCCCGAAGGCGGUGUAUUCGCACCGUUGACGGAGUGGUGAAUAAGGUACGCCGGCUAACUACGUGCCAGCAGCCGCGGUAAGACGUAGGGCGCGAGCGUUGUCCGGAUUUAUUGGGCGUAAAGGGCUCGUAGGCGGUUGAUUGCGUCCGCCGUGAAAGGCCUCGGCUUAACCGGGGUUUUGCGGUGGAUACGGGUCGACUUGAGGCAAUUAGGGGAGAUCGGAAUUCUACGUGUAGCGGUGAAAUGCGUAGA
rnacentral:rRNA from 1 species